CCUACGGGGGGCAGCAGUGAGGAAUAUUGGUCAAUGGCCGGAAGGCUGAACCAGCCAAGCCGCGUGAGGGAGGAAGGCGCAGAGCGUCGCAGACCUCUUUUGCCGGGGGACAAAAGGCCGGACUCGUCCGGUCCUGAGGGUACCCGGAGAACAAGCAUCGGCUAACUCCGUGCCAGCAGCCGCGGUAAUCCGGGGGAUGCGAGCGUUAUCCGGAUUCAUUGGGUUUAAAGGGUGCGCAGGCGGGCCUUUAAGCCGGCGGGGAAAUCGCGGGGCUCAACCCCUCCGCGCCGUCGGAACUGGGGGACUUGAGGGCGGGGGAGGCAAGCGGAAUGCGGGGUGUAGCGGUGAAAUGCAUAGAUAGCGCGCAGAACCCCGAUUGCGAAGGCAGCGUGCCGUGCCGCCACUGACGCUGAGGCACGAAAGCGCGGGGAUCGAACAGGAUUAGAUACCCCAGUAGUC
rnacentral:rRNA from 1 species